rnacentral:rRNA from 1 species
GUGCCAGCCGCCGCGGUACUACCGGCAGCCCGAGUGAUGGCCGAUCUUAUUGGGCCUAAAGCGUCCGUAGCUGGCUGCGCAAGUCCGUCGGGAAAUCCACUCGCCCAACGAGUGGCCGUCCGGUGGAAACUCCACACCUUGGGACCGGAAGGCUCGAAGGGUACGGCCGGGGUAGGAGUGAAAUCCUGUAAUCCCGGACGGACUACCGAUGGCGAAAGCACUCUGAGAAGACGGCUUCGACAGUGAGGGACGAAAGCUCGGGUCUCAAACCGGAUUAGAAACCCGAGUAGUCC